AUGACUUUGGUCUCCGUCCUCAUCUGGACUCUCCUCUGCUGCUGCUUCACAGAGUCCAGAGGCCAGGUCACAGUGACUCAGCCUGGAGCAGUGAGCUCUGAUCUGGGAGCCUCCACCACCAUCACAUGUACCACCAGUCAGAAUGUUCGUAACUCUAACUAUUUAGCCUGGUACCAACAGAGAGAUGGAGAAACUCCUAAACUUCUCAUUUACUAUGCCACCACUCGAGCAUCAGGGAUUUCCAGUCGUUUUUCAGGCAGUGGAUCAAACUCUCAUUUCACUCUGACCAUCAGUGAUGUUCAGGCUGAAGACGCAGCAGUUUAUUACUGUCAGAGUUAUCACUACAUCAACAGUCAGUAUGUGUUCACACAGUGA